CUGGCGAAACGUAAGUUUAUUUAAUUACAAAUAAAUCGUAAUAUAAAAGGAUCAUGGUUUCUGUGCUGAUGAAGACUAAUUUAUUCACUUUAUAACUGUAAACUUCGUUUGCACGUCACUGCCUGUAUAUGGAUGCUUUAGAUGCAAAAAUAAAUUGUAUGAAAAGUUUCAGAUUAUAAUGAUGUUUUAGUUGACUGAUGUUGAAGACAUGUAUUACUCCAAGAUAUAUUUGAAUGUGUUAAGUGUUUUUUCAUCCCGGCCCACGAUAGACAACAUCAUUGCGGAUGACGUCAUUACGUUGGAGCGUAAAAGAACCGGCGAACUGUUUUUUUCAACCGGUUUAUUGAAUCGAACUGUCCGAAAGAACCGAUUCACGGAAAAGAACCGAACUUCCCAUCACUAUUGGCAAUUGCUACAAUACUGACAAUAGAUCUUUUUUUGUCUGCAAAAUUUUCUUAAUGUGACCAUACCUUUAGUAGACCUACAGACAACUACUUGAAAUGAUAAAAUUUAAUUUUCAAUUUGUAGGUUCACAAGACAUAAGCUGUAUGUGUUUGAUUCACUGAAAAAAAAUCAAUCAUCAGAGUCAUUUGUUCAGGAAUCAAAUGAAUAACAAUCUAAACUACAUUGAACUCCACAGGCACAUUUGGACAACAUGAGAAGUGGAGCAUCGACACACCAUCUUCUUGGAAGCACCCGGCUGUUCCCCCUGAAAUUCUCACAGAUCCUUUAACCAUGCCUUCUCAACCCACACUGGAUAGAGGGACCAAUCUGUCAAUCUUAAACUCUGAGGAAACUAAAAAUGAAUAGAAUGAAUCGGAUGUCCUCAUCGAUGAGAGUGACCCUCCAGUGACCCAUCUCGAAGAUGGACCUAGCAGUUCCUGGUGGCUGUCUGAGCCGGACAAGAGGAAGUGCAGUGCAAAAUUCAAACCUAACAGAACUUCAGACAGGAUGGGUCUCAAGGACUACCUCACUUUUAAGGACUCAGACCUUAUUUUUACCCUUCCAACAAUUAAAACACCAGAUCUAUCCAAAGUCCUAUCCAACACUGCAGAUGACUAGUCAUGUCAGCAUGACUAGAUAAGGUCACAAGGAUAACAAAUAAAUUGCAUAAGAGCGCUAUCAAAGGAGUGGAGGUUGUUUUUCUUUAGAUAUCAUCUCAUGAUUUAAAGACAUGCACUUUCCAUGUUUAUUUUCAUGAGGGUUUAAUUGUUUUUGUUUGUUUUUUUUUUUCUAACCAUUUCUAACCCAAAAUGAAAAUUCUGUCAUUAAUUACUCACCCUCAUGUCGUUCCAAACCCGCAAGACUUUCAUUCAUUUUCAGAACACAAACGAAGAUCUUUUUGAUGGCAGAAUGCUGUCAGAUUUCCUUCCUGAAAUAAAAAUAAGUAAAUGUUGUUGGGUUUGUGAUAUACAGCCACGGAUCAGCACUGUAAACGGAGAAUGUGUGAAACAGGCUCAGAGGCGCAAUCCCACUACUGAUCGGCAUGGAUUUGACCUGGGACGGUUCACCCCUCUAUGAUGUGGUGGUCCCAGGCUCCGCCAGGAGCACCAUGUCAAUACCGAACUUAGUGUGGACACCCGAUCGACAUAGUCCACUGCAGCCCAGAACUCCGGAGCUCAAACAAUCCUCCAGCCUCAGCCUCCCAGUAGCUUGGAUUACAGGCGCGUGCCACUGCACCUGGCGAGAGCUGCGAGAAUCAGCGUUGCUACUGAAUCUAGUGCUCUCACAGCGACCUCUAGUGUAUGAAAACAGAGGUUUAGGUUCACAAUUAGGAAGGACAGUUUCACAAGUGGUAGGCUAUGUAGGAUUACACAUUUAAGAAUCUGUUCAAGAUCUGCUGAUCCUACAUCCUGACAUAGCCUCACAUGAAAUACUAAGGUGAAGUAUAUUGUAUUUAACAUUUUGAGGUAAAGAUAAUGACAAUUUAAGGAGAUCAAGGCAGCCAGCCCAGGUGUCUGUAACAUUAACCUUUUGUCUUCAUGCACUUCCUGACCAUUUGGCAGGACAAGCUCAAGAUACAGCGGUGCCUUUGUCUCUAUGAUAAUGUAAAGGUAUGGGCGAUACUGUCAGACUGAUUGGAUUAGCACCUAUGCAUUUGAAUGACACCCUUAUGCUGAUUAGAUCAUGGCUGGGAAAUGUAGGGAAUGGGCUGAUUCCUGCACUGCAUUUGCAUGCUUUGUUUAGAUUGUCUCCACCUCUACUCUAUGUAUCCCUCCCCCUUGAAUGUAUAUGAACUACCAAGUACACUGCCUUAGUUGGACUUGGAUGACUACAGC